rnacentral:rRNA from 1 species
UAGGGAAUCUUCCGCAAUGGGCGAAAGCUUGACGGAGCAACGCCGCGUGAGUGAUGAAGGUCUUCGGAUCGUAAAACUCUGUUAUUAGGGAAGAACAAAUGUGUAAGUAACUAUGCACGUCUUGACGGUACCUAAUCAGAAAGCCACGGCUAACUACGUGCCAGCAGCCGCGGUAAUACGUAGGUGGCAAGCGUUAUCCGGAAUUAUUGGGCGUAAAGCGCGCGUAGGCGGUUUUUUAAGUCUGAUGUGAAAGCCCACGGCUCAACCGUGGAGGGUCAUUGGAAACUGGAAAACUUGAGUGCAGAAGAGGAAAGUGGAAUUCCAUGUGUAGCGGUAAAAUGCGCAGAGAUAUGGAGGAACAACAGUGGAGAAGGCGACUUUCUGGUCUGUAACUGACGCUGAUGUGCGAAAGCGUGGGGAUCAAACAGG